UACGUAGGGCGCAAGCGUUAUCCGGAAUUAUUGGGCGUAAAGAGCUCGUAGGCGGUUUGUCGCGUCUGCCGUGAAAGUCCGGGGCUCAACUCCGGAUCUGCGGUGGGUACGGGCAGACUAGAGUGAUGUAGGGGAGACUGGAAUUCCUGGUGUAGCGGUGAAAUGCGCAUAUAUCAGGAGGAACACCGAUGGCGAAGGCAGGUCUCUGGGCAGUAACUGACGCUGAGGAGCGAAAGCAUGGGGAGCGAACAGG
rnacentral:rRNA from 1 species